rnacentral:misc_RNA from 1 species
AGUAGAAGUCACUAUCAUAUGGGGCUCUUAACAGCUGGAACUCUUGAAAGUAACUGCUGCUAUCAUUGUGAGCAGUCAAGGUAUGCUCUCGAGAGUCAGUAGUCUGUUCAGUCCUCCAGUAAUCGGUUGAGGCAAGUGGCAUGCCUUGGGACAUAACAUGCAGCACGGACUGUGGCAUGCCUGUGUGACUUGCACUUGUGUGUGCAGGCUGCUCAUGUGAAACGGAUUUUUGCUCACAUGAACCCCAAGAAUUAGUUGACAGAAGAGAGAGAGCA